CAAUCCAAUUCCCCCAAUAACGAGACGACACUUCGUUUUGAGGUCAAGCAGAACUGACUGUACUGGCACAUACAGCCUCUUUUAUUCACAAUCCACAAACAUAGUACUGCCCACAGGGUUUUGAAAUACAACCAAUCAAUCCUUACAAUACACACAGACACUCCCAUACAAAAUCCUCCCCUCUGCCUGUGAUAUGAUUAUUGAACACAAUGGUUAAU